CCGCCUGCCCUGUGACUAUAUGUUUAACGGCCGCGGUAUCUUAACCGUGCGAAGGUAGCGUAAUCACUUGUCUUUUAAAUGAAGACCUGUAUGAAUGGCAUCACGAGGGCUUAACUGUCUCCCCUCUCCAGUCAAUGAAAUUGACCUCCCCGUGCAGAGGCGGGGAUAUUUAUAUAAGACGAGAAGACCCUGUGGAGCUUUAGACCUAAAGUAAACCACGUUUAACGUACUAAAAUUAAUAGCAAAAACUUAGUGGACAUUUAUUUAAGUGUCUUUGGUUGGGGCGACCGCGGAGUAAAACACAACCUCCAUGUGGAUGGGGAUACAUCCCUAAAACUCAGAGCCUCCACUCCAAGCAACAGAAAUUCUGACCUUACUGAUCCGGUACAACCGAUUAACGAACCCAGUUACCCCAGGGAUAACAGCGCAAUCCCCUCUCAGAGCUCAUAUCGACGAGGGGGUUUACGACCUCGAUGUUGGAUCAGGACAUCCUAGUGGUGCAGCCGCUAUUA
rnacentral:rRNA from 1 species